rnacentral:lncRNA from 1 species
ACUUUACCAGUUUUAUUCCUGAAUUAAACCUGUUAUUACUAUCAAUAAUGUCAAUCAGUAGGCUCAAUGGGCAAGUAACAGAUCACUCCGAUCGCAGAGGCUUCGGAAAUGCCUUCCACCGUGGUACCAAGGAUGGUUUGCUCUCAGGAGAGGAGGCAGGGGUGGGAAUCAGCACACAGUUCUGCUACAUUUCUCAUGCAGGGCACAGACUAAGUAUUUUGUGCCUUGCUUUGCAGAUGAAAUGUCUCCUGCCCCCUGUCGUUAUAAUAGCUUCAGGCCACAACGGUCAACUUGGUGUCAGGACCUAGAC